AAAGAGAAAGGGACAGGUUGCUUGCAUAACCUCAGUGCAUUACUUUUUUGACAGUGGACAGGUCAUGCUUUUAGGAUGGAUUUAAACAGCUGCCUUGGACUGAAUCAAUAUGAAACUUAUUUGCCCAACUAGCUUGCAUAGCACGUGUAAAUGAUGAUUUCUUGCUUGCCUUGCCCUUUAAUAGCAGAAUAAGCUGCUCUGAUUUGGUAUUUCUUUCUAAUUGCUAUCUAUCUCCUUCACUUGCAGCCUCUCAUUUGUAUAGCCUUUCUAGGGCUAGCACAGCUGUGUUGAGCAAUUAGAUGUGGUCCUGUAGAAGUAUAUUUGGGAUGGAUGUUACUGCAGAGUGCUGAUGUAGCUCAUGCUAGCUUGAAUCUGUGCAUCAGAAUGUGCUGAGCGGUCUAGAUUUGGCACUGAAGGAUGUUAACUGGAACAAGAGUCACUUGCCAGAAUAACCAUUGAAUGUAGGGCUCUGAAAUCAAGAUUUUCUGUGAGAUGAUAGUAACCACAUUUCUUCCAGUGGCUUAUCACUGGAGAUAUGGCAAAUUGUCUUGGAUAGUCCCCGAGCUGGUAAACUCUUUAAUACUGUCAGCUUUGUGUUUUGUCUCAUGUUAUGUUAAUUGCUUAGUGCACUAUAGAAAUAAGAAAGAUUGAAUUUUCCAGAAUCCACUUUAACCUGUUUUGGGACAGUCCCAGUUGUUUCAGCACAGAAAAACUAGGCUUUAUUAAUUUAUUUGUGUCUAAUCCCUUCAACUACAAAGUUGGCAGCACACACAGAGAACAUGUGCCAACAUCAGCACUUCCUUUUAAAUAAACAGCAAACUUAGAUAACAUUUACAUGUUACAAAGAAGUGGUUCAUUUGAUAUUUUCUUUCCCUAUUACAGUUGAGCUAUUGGACUGAAUUCCUUCUUGCUUUAGACCACAUAAGAGAAAUACAUAUAACAUCAUUUAAAAGCAAAAAAUCCUUAAAAAGUGAAAUUAGGAAAUGUUUUUUCUUUCUCAGAUAGCAUUUUGUCUCUGGGAAAAUACAUUUUGAGAUAUGAGCUCACCCAAUAACUGUGGUAGAAAAAAAGUGCCCAAAUUUUAAAUACCCUGUCAGAAUUUCUGUUUGUAAUUGCAGCUAUGAUGAAUAUAAUAUCCACUGAUUUGGAUCAGCUAAAGCAUCUAGCAUAACCUGCUCUGGAUCAGGGAGCUGGGUAGAGCAAAAUUCAUUUGCAUUGGAGAAAGGAGAAUAGGUUAUGCUAAUUUUCUGUCACUAUACCUGCAUCUAGCCAACAGUGUAUUUGUAUAAAUAUUUUGGUUAACCUAUCAGAAGUCAUAUUAGAUUGACAGAACACUUGUGCGUAUGUUAAGCCUAAAAUACUCCCAAGUAGCUGUACAACAACUUGUGAAGCUCUUACUCCUACUAGCUUUUAGGUUAUGUUAGAUUGAUUCUGAACCCCUAUGUACUACUUGGUUUUAAGUAUGUCAUGUUAAUGUCCUCUCACUCUAAAGAAAAUAUUCAAAGAUGUUCCAGUGAUUUGAAAUAGAGCUUCCAGACUUUUCUAGACAGGACCCUUUGGAGCAUCAACAGCAUCCCUCGCAAUUGUGGGAUGAAGAAGGGACAAUGUGCAUUUUGUGCACUGCAUUUUUGAUCCUAAAUCAAACAAGUUUUAUAUCUUGGAUACAUGUGAUCCUGCUGACCAGACCGGUAUCAAUCAUAAAGCUACAGGCAUUUCUCUGGAAGAGAUUUUCAGGGAGGAAGGAGAGAACAAGCCUCAGACUGAACUCCUGCAUCUAGAACAGACAUGAUUUAUGUGUAAUGAAAAGCCACAUGAAUAAAACUCCCCAAAUGGAUAUAAAAAAUUCAGAUCCAAAAUGAUAUUUUUUGACAGAAUGGAUGUGGAGAGCAGAGGAUGAAGUUGAAGAAAUCUAAUAUAUGGAUAUGCCAAAGGAAAGGUUGGGAUCCAAUUAAAGAAGAUCAGGGAAGACAGAACUGGACAAGACAGAAUGCUGGGUUGUUCCUUUUGCUCCCAGAAGGAUGAACAGAACAUUGACCAUCCCCAGUAGGUACAGUUUUACCUAGUUUCUUCCUCUUCCCCCUCCCCAGUCUUCCAAAUGAAUGAAAGGAAGAAAUUAUCACAAUACUUUUACCCUGAUAAAUAUUUGGUUGGAUUUUAGUUACUUCCACAGUUGGAAAAAUAAAUUAGUAAGUC